rnacentral:lncRNA from 1 species
AGCAAACACUAAUAGGUUUUACGUGACAGAAACCCUAUUCAAACUGACUUAACAAAAAGGACAGUGAUUGCAUGAGAUGGGAAUGUGCCAGCGCCUUAGGAGGAAUCAGAACCAGACACUCAAAUGGUACUAAAAUCCUGGAAGGUGGGUCUACUUUGGCCCCUAUCCAUUGACAUCUCAGUGCUUUGGUGAGGACAGUUCAUCCAUGGAAUAUUUCAGAGAAGAGAAUCAAUAACUGCACAAGGAAUCACAUUCUGAUGUGGGUCUUCUUCAAAGACCUGAUGAGAAACCUCUGGCCCUCUUGCUGCACUGUACAAACCUUGAUGUGUUUCUCUGCUGGCCAUACUGAGCUGAUGGUCCCAAUGUCAAUCAAUGUUAGUGAUACUUCUCAAACAUUUGAUCUCAUAGUUUAAGUCUUUUCUCCCACCUAUAAUAUAACAUUAUAAUGAAGAGUAUUAAAAUCAGAGUGAUGAGCUGUGAAUCCUAUUUUCUCCUUCAUUCAUUUCCUAUGUGUCCCUGAGAAAGAAAUGUAACCUUAC